CGCUGGAGAGUGUUGUCAUUGGAGCUGUUUGUCGAACACUGGUGAGGCUGGAUGCACAGAGAAGUCUGUUGUUUCCAGGUUGUUUUCACCCUGCAGAGACAGAUGAGGUUAGUCUGAGCCUGUCAGCUGGAGACGAGGGAUUCUGCCUCAUCAAUGAUGGAGAUGAUGUUACAGAGGACAGGAGCCAUGUUUACUCCUUCACCUCCAGGACUCAGAGUUGAAGCAUCAAAUGACAGAGAGAAGAAACAGACAUGAAGAUUUCUGGAAGGGCGGUGUUAGUUUCUUCUUUUCAGUCUGACUCUUUAUUUAGUUAGUUCAUUUUCUGUCUCUAUGUAAAGUCUUGUGAUUAUUGCUCUUCUGUUAAUAUUUUUUAUUACAUUCUCAUGUUUAUACUGUUGUGUAUAUUUUUAUAGCCUUAUCUUGUUUUUUCAAUCACUUAUGCUGCUGCAAAAAUGUAAAUUUCCCCAUUGUGGGACAAAUAAAGGAUUAUCUGAUCUUAUCUUUA